UACAGAGGGUGCGAGCGUUAAUCGGAAUUACUGGGCGUAAAGCGUGCGUAGACGGUUGCAUAAGUCGGAUGUGAAAUCCCCGGGCUCAACCUGGGAAUUGCAUUCGAGACUGUGUAGCUGGGGUGCGGAAGAGGGAAGCGGAAUUUCCGGUGUAGCGGUGAAAUGCGCAGAUAUCAGGAGGAACACCGGUGGCGAAGGCGGGUCUCUGGGCCAAUACUGACGCUGAGGAGCGAAAGCGUGGGGAGCGAACAGG
rnacentral:rRNA from 1 species